rnacentral:tRNA from 1 species
CGCGGGUUCGUCUAAUCUGGUAGGAUGCAAGGCUCAUAACCUUGAGAUGGCGUUCAACUCGCCAACCCGCAACCA